rnacentral:misc_RNA from 1 species
AUCGAUUCCCUCAUCGUCCUCGGACUCAGAACCCGACGAAGACGAACACGACAUCGUUGUAUAUUUUCUCUCUGCGUGUAUGAACGAAUCAAAGCACGGUGCGAUCGGAUGAUAAUAUGGUGUCCGAUUGAAUUGAUUUGAUCUGAAUAUUGUAUCAACCGUUCUCUGUCAGAAAUUAGAAGGAAAGAAAGAGGAAAUUGUAUUGGAUUAAAAUGGAAUUAGGGUACGUUAGUUUAGGGAAAUGAAGCUGGAAAAAAGGAGAAAGAGAAGGAGAAGACUG